rnacentral:pre_miRNA from 1 species
AAUGGGUUUGCUGGGUCAUAUGGUAAAAAUGUGUUUAACUUAAGAAAUCAUCAAACUAUUUUCUAGAGUACCUUUGCUAUUUUGCAUUCCCACCAGUAAG